UACUCUUGAUUAGCAAGUCAACAAGAGGAGCUCAAGCCACGUGUUCUAACGUGGGUAGUCGUAUAACUGUGGUUCCUCUGCCCAUAAGUGCAGAUUGAUGUACGGUGGCGGGGAAGGGAUCUGGGAUUAUUUUAUAAGGACAUUUAUUUCUGUAAAGGCUGAUUUGAUGACUAGGGAUCACGAGGGGUUCCAUGGAAGAGGAAUCCCCUUGCUUUUCAAUUUUGAAUAGCAAGGGUAUUUCUCCCCAUGGAUCCAUCCAUGGUCACCAAACCAGCCCUAACUGUAUAGGCCCAGCCCAGAGGAUGGCUCUAUGGCUUCUUUGCCCGCUACUCUGGUAGCACGAAACUCGGCUUCCUGUAGGUUGCUGCGUUGCAGCCAUGUAGUUGGGCUUCCUGUAGGUAGCACGAAACAGAGGCCAGAGUAUAGUUCUUGAUGCAUUUCAGUUAUUGGUGUUUGAUCUUUUUUAGAGGAUGGUUUCUAUGAAUUGGUAGAUGGUAACAAGUGGUAUGAUUUUGUGUUAUUAGUCAUUCAAAUAUUACCUUUAAAAAUUGGUAGCUGAGUGGAUCGUGUAUUUGGCCUAUAGCCUUGUCAAGACGCCCAAACGAAGUUUGGUGUGAGGUCAUUUGGCCUCUGUAAACUAAUAUUGAAAACUAUAUCAUCUCAAUGAAUUAACAUGUUUAAUGGAAGAUUUUAUUGUAGGUCAUCCAACUUAUAUGGAAUUUGCCAUUUCACACCGCUAAAAUCCAUAAUUGUUGGGUUCAUGCUCAAAUCACCACAAGUAGUAUGUUUAUGUCCAUUAUUAAAGUAGUGUCAACAUGUCAGUCCUUUUCUUUGUACACAUUCAUUUCCCUCCCUGGCUUCUCUACCAAAUACCAAUGUCAUCGCGGGAGGUGCACACGAGUGUGAAGAGUAUGGGUUGUAAGGGCACAAUUUAGCAUGGAAAUCCAUAGCAAGGCUAAUGUCAGGGGCAAGGGUGCAAGACUAUUCACCAAAAUGUUCCUAGAUAAUGUCAUAAGUAAGUUGUGAUCUCGUACGCAUUAGUGCUAGUGGCUUUGAGCAGAAUGAGUCUGGUAACUAGCUCCUUGGCAACAAGGGUAAACUGUAAGCGAACUACGAGGACAGAAGUAUGGGGAGAUUAGGAUCGAGAUCUAGGACUAGAAUAGGUGAAAGAGUUGGUUAGUUAAGAACCGUAAAGAUGAACAAGCACUCAUGACAUCACGUAGACUAGAAAAUUUUGGAUUGAGUAAUUCGAGUUCUAAAAACUAGGAUUUUGAACUUUUCCCCAUGAAUUACCAAACAAAUCACAGCUCAAGUUUGGGUUUUGGGUAAUCUUGAUACUUGAAUCACCUUGAAAAGAAAAAAACAACACCCUCCUGUGCUUGUCAGUAGCAAUAAAUGGUAGACAUGACAUUGGGCUCAAUUUCCAUCGCAUCACCAACCCUCCUCUUGAGCAUCAUCCCUUUGGACCAUUGUUUUCAAGUCGGACGACUUGCUAGUCGUUCUAGCUGAUCGACUUGGGCGAUUAAUCGCGAUUGGUCUAAACCGACUUGGUCGCGAUUAAUCGGACGACUUGAAAAUAAUGCUUUGGACCCAUGCUAAUGGAAAACAUUUGGGAGAAGUCGAGAAGAAGGGAUUUUGAGUUGUUUCUCACAGUGUCUGGCGUAAAGUGUCGAAGAAGAGGAGUGACUAUUGGCUUCUCUUUGAUAUUGUCAUGGAAGAAGAGUGUUGGAUAGCUGUGGGUAUCGCCAAAGAGGUUGAAGAUUGGGGCCCUUUGAUUGUGCUAGCAUGAUGGUGCAAUGAAGGUGAUGGAGAGCAUGUGUUCAUGUGGCUUUGGUGGCGUUUGUUAGCAUGGUGUGAUGGUGUGUCGCUGUUUGAUGAGAUUCUUUUGGUGGAGGUGAACAGUGACAGUAAAGCCAACUCUAGACUGUGCAGCUGUCAAAAUGCAGCUAGUGUAGGGUGUCGGGUGAAUCAUAGUCACAUAAAACAUAUUCAAAGGCAUUGACUAGACCUUGGUAUGCAGGGCCAUUUUUGACAUGCAUUGCAAAAAUGUCACGCAAGUAGUGUAUCACAUUCUUUGACCCUACACCUCGACUUCGUUGACUAAAAAAUUUGGUGAAUUAGGUAGGCGGCAUUAUUGAUGGGGGCUUGGGUCAUUAGGUUAGGCUAAUGUUACAGGGUCAUUAGGUGAGGCUGAUGUUACAGGGUCCAAUCAACUUUGGGUAAAAUGGAUAAAUCAGACAAUGAGCCUUAAUACCUCAACUACCUACAAGAAGAUCAUUUUUUGGCUGUAGGUAAUUCAAGUUUGGGUAUUGGGAUCUAUGCCCACCUGUAGCGUAGGAGGCCAAGGAAGUUGCACUAGCGAAGCACGUAAAACAUGAUAAAAUGUUGCAUCUUGGAAGGAGGUUCAAGAGGUGUAGUGGUCUAGCCUUGAUGGCGAGAGUAGUGAGGAAGGGAAGGCUUGAGGUAUGUUAGCAUGCUCCCCCCUCUUUAUCUUCUUGUGUCAGAUGUCCAAACAAUUGAAGGGGAGGUUGCUUGAUGGGAGAUGCGAUGAUCUAGGGGUGGACAACUAGCAAAGAGGCAAAACUGGUGGGAUGGCGCUUAGUUGGCAGAGGGAAUUCGAGAUUAGCAUGGGAGGUGCUCUUUUAGGAAAGGAGCCAACAAUGGGACGAGAACUUGGCGUGGAGCUUCAGGUGGGAAGCGAUCCUAGUAGAAAACCAUCGUCUAUGCUAGACCCCCGUUAAGUUUCUCACACUUACGAACUCAACUCGAGUGAGAAAGAAGCUAGCCAAUUAGGGGAAUUAGAUGAAAAUGGCUUAGUGAUGGCAGAUACGAUCGUGGAUGUCGCGAUCAACGAUGUUGACUAUGAUGGUGGUCAAGCGGGUGAAUCGCGACAAACACCCAUCGUGGUGGGCACGUCCUUUGUGAUGUGGACAAGCAUUGGGCCAGUCAAUGAGGGUGACAGAAGUCUAGAUCUAGGGUGGUGGUCGAUGGGCGGUGUUCAUACUUGAGUGUGGAACAACCAGAGUCAAGUUGUUCGGGUUGGAAAAACAAUAGAAAAGUACAAUACUCCUACUUGACUCCUGGGAGAAGGGGGUAGGUAGGGAAUGUUGGGGUGGGUUUUCCUCAAGAAACAAAAUGCUCCAUCAAUUUAGUGAUGUCAAGGGGGUUGACAUUUGGCAUUAUAACACAUUCAAAAUUAUAUUAGCUUUUUCAUGAUUGUUAUCAUUGAUGGAAGAAUAUGAUAUUAGCUUAAUUACUGAGAUAUCAACACCAAUUGCUCUACUAUGGCUGCCUCUAGUGCUUAUUAGGUUCGUCAUGCACGAUAGAUCCAGGUGGAGGGGAGUGGCAGAGAAAGAAAUUGCUUGGUCAACUCUGAUU
rnacentral:lncRNA from 7 species